rnacentral:rRNA from 1 species
GGAGCCUGAGAACGGCUACUACAUCUACGGAAGGCAGCAGGCGCGUAAUUACCCAAUCCUCCUUCAGGGAGGUAGUGAGAAAAUAAAACAACGCGGUUAUUAUCGCGAUUGUAGUGAGGGUAUUCUAAACAGAACCUAUAGUACGAUUAGAGGGCAAGUCUGGUGCCAGCAGCCGCGGUAAUUCCAGCUCUAAUAGCGUAUAUUAAAGUUGCUGCAGUUAAAAAGCUCGUAGUUGGAUUUCAAGGAUUGUAAACCCCUCUGUGUUAUUUCUUCCUACUAGUCUUCGGACUGUUACUGUGAGAAAAUUAGAGUGUUUCAAGCAGGCUUUCGCAAGAAUACAUUAGCAUGGAAUACGAAUGUAUUUAGAAUCUUGGUAAUCAAACUACGACCACCACCAGCACAGCCGGGGGCAUAGAUUUAAUUGCAGAGGUGAAAUUCUUGGACUCGCUCAACGACUACGUAUGCGAAAGUAUUUGCAAGGAUGUUUUCAUUAAUCAGACGAAGAUAGGGAUCAAGACAAUCAGAUACUGUCGUAGUCUAUCUAUAACUAUGCGACUAGGGAUUGAUGGCUCAACACAUUUCAGUACUAUGAAAAUCAAGUUUUGGGUCUGGGGGGGUUUGUCCAGACUGACUUAGAAUGACGAGACCCGAGUGACUGGGCUAUUGACUCACGGGACUACAGUCACAUAAAGAUGCAAUGGAGCUUCUGAUUCUAGGGGGCAUGGCGCUCUAUUGGGGAAGAUGGUCUGUUAU